GAUGAAAUGGCUGAAGUUUAGGCGAUAAACUGUAAAUUUAUUUAUGAAAAUUUUAUUUUCUUUUAUCA
rnacentral:tRNA from 1 species